UUGCCAUCUGGUGUCAUUUGAUUAUGUGGGAGAUCAGGCAUGAACAAAUAUGUGUGCUUGGUUCUCCUGAGAUUACAAUUUGAAAGUUUUACCAUGAAAAAGCCAGGCACCAGGGGGCCAGUGGGUUGAAAUGACUCUUUGAAUCAACACUCUUUGGUCUCUCUCAAUGAGAAUCGAGAGGGAGCGCUGAGCUUUUAACAGCACUCACAGGACACGAGGCAGGAGGUCGGAGCCGCUGUCUCUGGGCAGAUGUCUGUUUCACAGUGUCUGCGCUGAUCCUGGAGCAGUUCUGCAGCCUCUCUUCAAUCUACAGUUUGAUCACUCAAUCAGAAUCCAUCCGAGUUUCUCAGAUGACAAACAAACUACAACAUGACGACUGUGUGCAUUAGACUAAGAUAGCCAAACAGUCCUCAUCCCUCGAAAUCCUGGCUACAGUAGGGCAAAAUCCAGAAACAAACCUCCUCCUUUGACCCUGUCAGUGUUUUUUUUUUUUUUUUUUGUGGCGGUGAAAUGUCUUUGUAAUUCACUGGAAAGGCUUUUCAGCCCAUAGGAUUUACCCUGAAGAAAACUCAGAGAAUCCCUGGGAGAAGAACAAUGAAGGGGCCAUGAUGAUUUUUUUUUAGGAAAGCCUGACAAUGAAUUAUGACUGAAAUAAGACCCCAAAAGCUUUGCAAUAAGAGGGAAGUAAAUUCUAUUAUUGAUGUCAGAGGACAUCAAAGGUCUUCUGUGUUUUAAAUGAAGUUUACCCCAAAAUUGAAAAUGCUUUCAUCAUGUAUUCAUCCCCAUGUCGGUUCAAACAUGUGUGACUUUCUUUUUUUCAUGGAGCACAAAAUGUUAAGCUGAAUAUCUACGCAAAGCUUUUCUUGAAGUCUACAGUAACCAGAUGAUUAGAAGAAAUUAAUUUAAGUCUGCAAUGGAAAUGUCAUAUGCAUUUAUUCAGAUUUCAGAUUUUACAUCAAUGAUAAUAAUGAUUUAAACACGAGCUGCUCCAUGAAAGGAAUACAAGCACAUUUCUGUAAAUGAUGACAAACCUUUUUUUUUUUACUUGAAAAUCUCCUGAGAUAAAGUAUUUACAAAAUUAAAAACUUUCUAAAUGCCAAACAAAAUAAUAAAUAUAAAUAAAAUUGAUACAGCCUAUAACUUAAAAUGUUAUCUUUUGAUAUGACAAAUAUCUCUCUGUCUGUCAAUGGAUUUUCACAUUUCUUCUCUCCAGUGGGGAUUUCCUAAGACUUUUAAAAAUAGUUUCCCUUAUUUCCUAUUUUAAGAACACAGUUUUUCUUUAGUAAAAGUAAUUCCUUCUCUUUGGGCCUGAAAACAAUAUAAACACACAGAACAAUAGGAGCUGGGGUGUUUGGUCUGCUUUAUUGUCUGUGUGUACUUCAGGCCCAUAAUUAUGUUGUUUGAGGUUAUAUGGAGUUCAUCCUUCUUUUAUUCUUUUGUCCUGCACAGGGAUAAGGUUCAAUAAU